AGACAAUUUAUAUUUUUUUGUAUUUUGAGCAGUCUUAAAACUCUUAGUGCCGAAUAGUGUUAACUGGGCUUUUCAGGACCCGAUUUUCCAAGAGUUAACGGCAGAGUAUCCGAGUUUGGAGGUAGGUGCCGUUGGUGGCCAAGGCUAGUCGGCGAUCUAGCCUUGUCGGGCAAAUGACCGCAAUGGCAAACAUUAGGCAAAACACUGGCAAACAUUUAGUGCAAAUGGCAAAACUGGCAAACAGCAAUGGCAAACAGCUAUGGCAAAACAGCAAAAAACGUAAUAAUAAGGCUAAUUAUAGUAGCAAUAGGAGUUUGCCAUGACAAUUCUACGGUGGCCCAUAAGGGUCACGCUUCUUUCUUUUAUAUUUUGCUUCUGUAUUUAUAAAAGCACAACGAAAUUUAUAUUAACA